rnacentral:rRNA from 1 species
AGAGUUUGAUCCUGGCUCAGAAUCAACGCUGGCGGCGUGCCUAAUACAUGCAAGUCGAACGCGAAAGUCCCGCAAGGGAUGAGUAGAGUGGCGAACGGGUGAGUAACGCGUGGGUGACCUGCCUUCGAGUGGGGGAUAACGUCCCGAAAGGGACGCUAAUACCGCAUGACAUCCUGCCGUUGAAUCGGUGGUGAUCAAAG